AGGCACAAGGGCUGCGCCAAUGUGUAGAAGAGAUUGUGUUUGCCUAUACCUACCCCAGGCUUGAUAUGGAGGUCGUGUCUGUACUCUUAUUGAUCCACAAAGUUGUGAUGAAUUUGAUCCUACUGCAGUACCAACGCUGUCCGAGCUUCUACAAGAACUUAACACAGGAUCUUUAGGAGCUGAUGCUGAGAAUGGGAAAAGCUGCUGGACUGUCAUGUUUGCAUGUACGCGACAUGGAAUUCUUAAAUGUUUUGCUUAGUGGCAUAAUGGGAGAAAACCACACUUAAGAAGUCAAUCAUCAUUCUUGCAGCCUCUACUAAAAUCUUGCAAGGCAGUGACGGACCUAGGAUUUUUGCUCAGGGGGACCCUCAUGGUUUCGCCACUGUUUGUCAAUCAACUAGUGAAAACACAAGAAAAUAACAUCCAAUUCACAAAGAAACACAAGAAAAAUUU